UACGUAGGUGGCGAGCGUUGUCCGGAUUUACUGGGCGUAAAGAGCGCGCAGGCGGUCGAAUAAGUCGAAUGUGAAAGCCCCUGGCUCAACUAGGGAGAGUCAUUCGAUACUGUUCGACUCGAAGGCAGGAGAGGGAAGUGGAAUUCCGGGUGUAGUGGUGAAAUGCGUAGAUAUCCGGAGGAACACCAGUGGCGAAGGCGACUUUCUGGCCUGUUCUUGACGCUGAGGCGCGAAAGCUAGGGGAGCAAACGGG
rnacentral:rRNA from 1 species